rnacentral:sRNA from 1 species
GAUUGAUGGCUCAGUGAGGCGUUCGGACUGGCUCGGGGAGGUUGGCAACGACCACCCCAAGCCGGAAAGUUCGUCAAACUCGGUCAUUUAGAGGAAGUAAAAGUCGUAACAAGGUCUCCGUAGGUGAACCUGCGGAGGGAUCAUUACACAAUAACAUAUGAAGGCUGUACGCGCAGCUGGAGUAUUUAUUACCCUUGUCUUUUGCGCACUUGUUGUUUCCUGGGCGGGUCCGCCCGCCACCAGGACCACACUAUAAACCUUUUUUUAUGCAGUUGCAAUCAGCGUCAGUACAACAAAUGUAAAAAUCAUUUACAACUUUCAACAACGGAUCUCUUGGUUCUGGCAUCGAUGAAGAACGCAGCGAAAUGCGAUACGUAGUGUGAAUUGCAGAAUUCAGUGAAUCAUCGAAUCUUUGAACGCACAUUGCGCCCUUUGGUAUUCCAAAGGGCAUGCCUGUUCGAGCGUCAUUUGUACCCUCAAGCUUUGCUUGGUGUUGGGCGUUUUUGUCUUUGGUUGCCAAAGACUCGCCUUAAAAGGAUUGGCAGCCGGCCUACUGGUUUCGCAGCGCAGCACAUUUUUGCGCUUGCAAUCAGCUAAACAGGGCGGCACUCCAUCAAGACUCCUUCUCACGUUUGACCUCGGAUCAGGUAGGGAUACCCGCUGAACUUAAGCAUAUCAUA